AUUGAACGCUGGCGGCAGGCCUAACACAUGCAAGUCGAGCGAGCGGCGGACGGGUGAGUAAUGUCUGGGAACCUGCCUGAUGGAGGGGGAUAACUACUGGACACGGUAGCUAAUACCGCAUACCAUCAGAUGUGCCCCGAUGGGAUUAGAUAGUAGGUGGGGUAACGGCCCACCUAGGCGACGAUCCCUAGCUGGGCGGAGAGGAUGACCCGCCACACGGGAACUGAGACACGGUCCAGAGUCCUACGGGAGGCAGCAGUGGGGAAUAGUGCACAAUGGGCGCAAGCCUGAUGCAGCCAUGCCGCGUGUGUUAAGAAGGCCUUCGGGUUGUAAAGCACUUUCAGCGGGGAGGCGUUACCCGCAGAAGAAGCACCGGCUAACUCCGUGCCAGCAGCCGCGGUAAUUC
rnacentral:rRNA from 1 species